rnacentral:misc_RNA from 1 species
GAUGAAGAACGUAGCGAAAUGCGAUACUUGGUGUGAAUUGCAGAAUCCCGUGAACCAUCGAGUCUUUGAACGCAAGUUGUGCCCGAAGCCAUCAGGUUGAGGGCACGUCUGCCUGGGCGUCACAUAUCGUUGCCCAAUGCCUAUUGCAGUGCAAUAGGAAUUUCUAGGGCGAAUGAUGGCUUCCCGUGAGCGUUGUUGCCUCGCGGUUGGUUGAAAAUCGAGUCCUUGGUAGGGUGUGCCAUGGUAGAUGGUGGUCGAGUUAGAACGAUACCGAUCAUGUGCAUGCUCCCCAAAAUAUGGCCUCUAUGACCCACACGCGUCUUUUGACGCUCAUGACGAGACCUCAGGUCAGGCGGGGCUACCCGCUGAAUUUAAGCAUAUCAAUAGCGGAGGA